rnacentral:rRNA from 1 species
GUGGGGAAUAUUGGACAAUGGGCGAAAGCCUGAUCCAGCAAUACCGCGUGUGUGAAGAAGGCCCUAGGGUUGUAAAGCACUUUUGUUAGGGAGAACGGGUUUUGUAGUUAAUACCUACAGGAUCUGAUGUUACCUAAAGAAUAAGCACCGGCUAACUCCGUGCCAGCAGCCGCGGUAAUACGGAGGGUGCAAGCGUUAAUCGGAAUUACUGGGCGUAAAGGGCGCGUAGGUGGUAACUUAAGUUGGGUGUGAAAUCCCCGGGCUCAACCUGGGAAUUGCAUCCAAAACUGGGUUGCUAGAGUGUGGUAGAGGGUAGCGGAAUUUCUGGUGUAGCGGUGAAAUGCGUAGAUAUCAGAAGGAACAUCAAUGGCGAAGGCAGCUACCUGGGCCAACACUGACGCUGAGGCGCGAAAGCGUGGGGAGCAAACAGGAUUAGAAACCCUAGUAGUCC